rnacentral:rRNA from 1 species
GAUGAACGCUGGCGGCGUGCCUAAUACAUGCAAGUCGAGCGAACAGACGAGGAGCUUGCUCCUCUGACGUUAGCGGCGGACGGGUGAGUAACACGUGGAUAACCUACCUAUAAGACUGGGAUAACUUCGGGAAACCGGAGCUAAUACCGGAUAAUAUAUUGAACCGCAUGGUUCAAUAGUGAAAGACGGCUUUGCUGUCACUUAUAGAUGGAUCCGCGCCGCAUUAGCUAGUUGGUAAGGUAACGGCUUACCAAGGCAACGAUGCGUAGCCGACAUGAGAGGGUGAGCGGCCUACGGGGGACUGCGAGAGGGGCCAGUCGCUGACGGUGUGCAGCAGUGGGGAAUAUUACAUAAGGGUAGGAAGUAUGAUGCAGCAAUGACGCGUGCGGGAGGCUGGCCUUCGGGUUGUAAACCAAAUUCUCCUGUGACGAAGCGUGAGGGACGGUAAUGGGUAAAGAAGCACCGGCUAACUACGUG